AGUUUCAGCAAGUACUUCCGAUCACUCCCAGUCUUCGGGCCGGACAAGGGGAGGCGAGAGUCCGGGCGUACUUCCCUCACCGGGCAGCGGCGGCCUUUGCGCCGCCCGCCCGGCGCGGACGCCCAGCCUGUGCCGGAAUGGACAGAGAGACGCGCGUCUACGCCGAAAAUCAUUUCCGAGGCCUGCAGGGGCGGCCCCCAGGCGGCGCCUGCCCGCCCCCAGGCUGCGUGGACUUCAUCGAGAAUCCGGACUCGUUUUCCUACGCCGACUUCUUCAAGGGCUACCUGCUUCCCAACAUGCCGUGCGUCUUCUCCAGCUCCUUCACCGCCGGCUGGGGCAGCCGCAGGCACUGGGUGACGUCCAGCGGGAAGCCCAACUUCGAGCACCUGCUUCGGAAGUACGGAGACGUCGUUGUGCCUGUUGCCAACUGCGGGGUCCAGGAGUACAAUUCGAACCCCAAAGAACACAUGCCGCUCAGAGACUACAUCAGCUACUGGCAAGAGUACAUCCAGGGUGGCUAUUUCUCUCCUCGGGGCUGCCUCUAUCUCAAAGACUGGCACCUGUGCAGGGACUCAUCGGCGGAGGACGUCUUCACCUUGCCUGUGUACUUCUCAUCCGACUGGCUGAACGAGUACUGGGACUCUCUGGAUGUGGACGACUACCGCUUUGUCUACAUGGGGCCCACUGGCACCUGGUCACCAUUUCACGCCGACAUCUUCCGCUCCUUCAGCUGGUCUGUCAACAUUUGUGGGAGGAAAAAGUGGUUCUUCUUUCCUCCAGGGCAGGAAGAAGCCCUGCGGGAUUGCCAUGGUGGCCUGCCCUACGAUGUGACCUCCCCUGCACUCCUUGACCGCCGUCUGUACCCCACUCGUGAGCACUGCAGCCCCCCGCUGGAGGUCACGCAGGAGGCGGGCGAGAUGGUGUUUGUGCCCAGUGGCUGGCACCACCAAGUCCACAACCUGGAGGACACCAUCUCCAUCAACCACAACUGGGUCAAUGGCUGUAACCUGGCCAACAUGUGGCACUUCCUGCAGCAAGAGCUCUGUGCCGUGCAGCAGGAGGUCAGUGAGUGGAGGGACACCAUGCCUGACUGGCACCAUCAUUGCCAGGUCAUCAUGAGGGCUUGCUCUGGGAUCAACUUUGAAGAAUUUUACCGCUUCCUCAAGAUCAUCGCUGAGAGGAGGCUUCUCCUGCUGGCGAAGGGGAUGGGCCCUGAUGAAGUGGAGGGUGAGGGUGGCGAGGGCAGCGUGCUGGGCCCCCAGCAGGCUGCUUUCGACAUCGGCCGGAUUGCCGAGGUGCUGGCGUCCGUGGUGGCCCACCCAGACUUCCAGAAAGUGGACACUAGCAUGUUCUCGCCGCAGCCUGAGGAGCUUCUGAAGCAGCUAGAGGAGGUCGUGGUCACCACCACGACUCUUUAAUGCAUGCUGCGUGGAUCAGGUACCCCAUGACGUGACAGGAUUGUGGGGCACCAGCAUGGAGGCUCCCUCCAUAGCCACGGUGUGCCAUCAGAUACUCGCUCUGCAAACCCAUGACCACUGCAUGUGUGAUCGUUCAUCUGGCGUCCCUUGCAUGGUAAUUCUGGAUCUUCCAAACCAAGAAGUGCCACAUGUGACAAUUCUGGACCAUCCAAACCAAGAGAUGCCACAUGUGAGCAGCUUCUUGCUCCAUGUUGUUCUUUUUUUAAAGUUUAUUUAUUUUGAGAGUGUGAAAGAGAGGGAGAGAGAAUCCCAAGCAGCCUCCACACUGUCAGCACAGAGCCCAACAUGGGGUUCAGUCUAAUGAACCUUGAGAUUAUGACCUGAGCCAAAAACAAUCAGAUGCUUAACCAACUGAGCCACCCGGGUGGCUCAUGUUGGACGAUCUGCACACUCCUUGGGCCUGGCAGACGUGAGCCCUGCUGCGUGUGUAGGUGAUACUUGCAGCCACUGGGGAGGAGGGGAUAACUCAGAAUUGCCCCCUAAUUCACCUAGCUCUUGCUUCUGUAGGCUGUCUGUUGGGAUGCUACUGGAAGUCUGUGACGGGACACACAGGAAGUUAUGUAGGGCCUUGGAGGCUUUCUGGCAUGUCUGGUGUAGCCCUUCAGCCUCUGGUUUUGGGGAAGGAUAUGGGAGGGCACUCCAGUAAGCUCAGGGCAGUGUGUGUUUCCCACGGAUUGGAGGCAUUCUGGUAUUGGUAAGGGAGCGACUGUGGUGCCCAUGGAUGGUCAUUUCUGGUGACACCCCUCACCUGUCAGGCUACAUCUUUCAGCCUCCUCAUGGGAAAUGUUGGCACUCCUGUCACAUAACCAAGGCACAGGCCUUGACCAGAGUGACCAUAGUGUCCCCGUCUAGGGCAUUUCUGGAGUAAGCUAUUGUGCAAGGCAUUGUGGGGAUGCUUAUGGGAUGAGGCCCAGCUGUAGCUCUAAAUUCUGCAUCACAAACCUUUCCCCUGGACAAGAAGCCAGCAGGAAAAGGAAUUCUGAGGUCAGAGACCACCUCCCAGGAGGUGUUAUGUGUAGGUAAAGAGUGGACCAUGGGAGGUCCUUGGGGAGGCUUGCAGAGGCUAAGUCCUGCCUGCUCUCAGUACAUUUACUAAUAACCUUUCUCUGGCCUCAUCCUUUCCAUAUGUGUUCUCCCUUGCUUCUGGCUUUUGUUUUGUUUUUACGAUUUUUCCCACUAUGGUCUGAUGGAGUUCCAGAGUAUGACCUUGAAAACUGUUAAUUUCUCAAUUCUUGUCAGAAGAAAUCUCAGCAAGAGAAGCAGAAGUUUCCCUCUUCCUCCAAAUUGUAAUAAUACAGCUACUGUCCUGGGAGAGGCAACAGUCCUGGCAAGGGCUGUAUAAAGACUCCCAAAUUUGAGUGGUUGUUCCCAUACCUGAGAACGUACCUCUGACCGCUAAAUGCCGGGAAUUCUGAGGGGCUGCCUCUGCUCCUGUCCAGGGUCACAAUACUGAUGUGACCAUGUCCUCCGAGGGAAGAGUGUCUGGGCCUGUCUCGCAGUGGCUGGAGAGUUGUGGCUGGCCCUUCUCACAUCCCACACCUAAAAUAAACUGAUAACCCUGUAAGACUUCUUAUUG